rnacentral:rRNA from 1 species
GACGAACGCUGGCGGCGUGCUUAACACAUGCAAGUCGAACGAGGCUUCACCUUCGGGUGGGGUUCUAGUGGCGAACGGGUGAGUAACACGUGGGCAACCUGCCCUCAGCUCUGGGAUAACUCCGGGAAACCGGGGCUAAUACCGGAUAUGACCACCGUGGGCAUCUGUGGUGGUGGAAAGUUUUUCGGCUGAGGAUGGGCCCGCGGCCUAUCAGCUUGUUGGUGGGGUGAUGGCCCACCAAGGCGACGACGGGUAGCCGGCCUGAGAGGGUGACCGGCCACACUGGGACUGAGACACGGCCCAGACUCCUACGGGAGGCAGCAGUGGGGAAUCUUGCACAAUGGGCGAAAGCCUGAUGCAGCGACGCCGCGUGAGGGAAGAAGGCUUUCGGGUUGUAAACCUCUUUCAGGAGGGACGAAGCUCCUCGGGUUAAUAGCCCAGAGGGUGACGGUACCUCCAGAAGAAGCCCCGGCUAACUACGUGC